rnacentral:rRNA from 1 species
CGCAUCUGUGCUUCGGUACAGAUGAGUGGCGAACGGGUGAGUAACACGUGAGUAACUCCCCUGGGGGAGGGGGAUAACCAUCUGAAAAGGUGGCUAAUACCCCAUAUUCUCUUUUCUCAUAAGAGGAAAGAGGAAAGGUGGCGUAAGCUAUCACCCCGAGAGAGGCUCGCGUCCCAUCAGCUAGUUAGUAAGGUAAGAGCUUACCAAGGCUAUGACGGGUAGCUGGUCUGAGAGGAUGGUCAGCCACACUGGAACUGAGACACGGCCCAGACUCCUACGGGAGGCAGCAGUGAGGAAUCUUGGGCAAUGGGCGAAAGCCUGACCCAGCGACGCCGCGUGGAGGAAGAAGGCCUUCGGGUCGUAAACUCCUGUUCGGGGAGAAGAACAGGGGGGAAGUGAAUAACUUCUCUCCCUGACGGUAUCCUCGGAGAAAGCUCCGGCUAAUUACGUGCCAGCAGCCGCGGUAAUACGUAAGGAGCGAGCGUUGUCCGGAUUUACUGGGCGUAAAGAGCUCGUAGGUGGUUUCUUAGGUCUCACGUGAAAUUCCCUGGCUCAACUGGGGAGGGUCGUGGGAAACCGAGAAGCUAGAGGGCAGGAGAGGAGAGUG